rnacentral:rRNA from 1 species
UACGUAGGGCGCAAGCGUUGUCCGGAAUUAUUGGGCGUAAAGAGCUCGUAGGCGGCUUGUCACGUCGGGUGUGAAAGCCCGGGGCUUAACCCCGGGUCUGCAUUCGAUACGGGCUGGCUAGAGUGUGGUAGGGGAGAUCGGAAUUCCUGGUGUAGCGGUGAAAUGCGCAGAUAUCAGGAGGAACACCGGUGGCGAAGGCGGUUCUCUGGGCAUUACCUGACGCUGAGGAGCGAAAGCAUGGGGAGCGAACAGG